CGAUAGCCUGAGAGACAGUGGGUUUGCUCUCACACAGUGGAGCAAUGCCUCGAAAGCCAUGGACGCUUUCGGUGUUGGGGAUCUACUUAGACAACACCACACCCAACUUCGCAGGUUGACGGUCACUUCCAAUGUCACUGGAGAAACUGUAACAGACUUACCCUUCACCAGGUCUGGAGAAAGUAAUGACGUUGAAGUGGGGUGUGUAAGCUGACAGAUGCUGGUGGAGACUCUAUGGAAGCAGCUGCCGGAUGGGACCAUCAGGUUUGGAUCCAAGGUGGUAUCCAUAGAACAAGAUGGGAAGUCAUGUCCGAUCCAUGUGGCUGAUGGAGCACUUAUUGGAGCUAAGGUGCUGAUAGGUUGUGAUGGUGUGAACUCUGCUGUUGCCAAGCGGCUGGGGCAUCCCGGGCUUGUCUUCACAUGAAGCUCAUCCAUAAUAGGUCUCACACUGUCGCACAUUAGCCUGAAGGCCAUGGGCUUGAACCGCGGUUUGCUCAGUUCUUGGCAAUGGCUCUCGUUUUGGGAUCUUGCCUUGUGAUGAGAGAAUGAUCUAUUGGUUCUGUACACUUUCUUUUAGCCCUCAAGGUAUAAGAACCACGACCACACAACCUAUUUGUCUUUUAAUUUAUUGAAACAUGAAUUGAUUAGAGUAAUAUGAGCUUGAUCUAGUCACCAAGCCAUGUAUAAGCCAAGGAGAUCAGAUGCCCCCCCUAACUUUCCCAUAACGCUUAGAUAAACACACAUAAAUGGUCUUAUUAACAACGAAUUGUUUACAUAUUAGAGACUAUCUAACCAAAAUUUAGUUUGAUCACAAUAUG